rnacentral:rRNA from 1 species
GCACCGGCUAACUCCGUGCCAGCAGCCGCGGUAAUACGGAGGGUGCGAGCGUUAAUCGGAAUUACUGGGCGUAAAGCGCAUGCAGGUGGUUUGUUAAGUCAGAUGUGAAAGCCCGGGGCUCAACCUCGGAAUAGCAUUUGAAACUGGCAGACUAGAGUACUGUAGAGGGGGGUAGAAUUUCAGGUGUAGCGGUGAAAUGCGUAGAGAUCUGAAGGAAUACCGGUGGCGAAGGCGGCCCCCUGGACAGAUACUGACACUCAGAUGCGAAAGCGUGGGGAGCAAACAGGAUUAGAUACCCUGGUAGUCCACGCCGUAAACGAUGUCUACUUGGAGGUUGUGGCCUUGAGCCGUGGCUUUCGGAGCUAACGCGUUAAGUAGACCGCCUGGGGAGUACGGUCGCAAGAUUAAAACUCAAAUGAAUUGACGGGGGCCCGCACAAGCGGUGGAGCAUGUGGUUUAAUUCGAUGCAACGCGAAGAACCUUACCUACUCUUGACAUCCAGAGAACUUUCCAGAGAUGGAUUGGUGCCUUCGGGAACUCUGAGACAGGUGCUGCAUGGCUGUCGUCAGCUCGUGUUGUGAAAUGUUGGGUUAAGUCCCGCAACGAGCGCAA